rnacentral:rRNA from 1 species
ACUCCUACGGGAGGCAGCAAUUAGGAAUCGUUGACAAUGGGCGAAAGCCUGAUCACGCGACGCCGCGUGAAGGAUGACAGCCUUCGGGUUGUAAACUUCUGAAAAUAGCACCGGCUAACUACGUGCCAGCAGCAGCGGUCAUACGUGGGGUGCAAGCAUUGUCCGGAUUUAUUGGGCGUAAAGAGUUCUGUAGGCGGAUACGUAAGUCAAAGGUCAAAUCUUCCGGCUCAACCGGAAAACUGCUUUUGAUACUGCGUUUCUAGAGGAAGCUAGGGGAUAGCGGAACUUAUGGUGGAGCAGUGAAAUGCGUUGAUAUCAUAGGGAACACCAAGGGGGUAGCCAGCUAUCUGGGGCUUUCCUGACGCUGAGAGACGAAAGCGUGGGGAGCGAAACGGAUUAGAUACCCGUGUAGUCCACGCCGUAAACGAUGCCUGCUAGAUGCUUGGGUUCGCCUGAGUGUCGAAGCUAACGCGUUAAGCAGGCCGCCUGGGGAGUACGGUCGCAAGAUUAAAACUCAAAGGAAUUGGCGGGGACCCGCACAANCGGUGGAGCAUGCUCUUUAAUUGGCUGCUAACCCAAGGACCUUACCCAGACUUGACAUGUAACUGCAAACUCUAAGAAACUAGAGUCUCUUUCGAAGGUGUUACACAGGUGUUGCAUGGCUGUCGUCAGCUCGUACCGUGAGGCGUACCCUUAANUGGGUUAACGAGCGCAACCCUUACCGUUAGUUGUAUCACUCUAGCGGAACUGCCGUCGUAAGACGNANGAAGGUGGGGGNACGACGUCNANUCGGUAUUGNCUUUAUGUCUGGGGNC